GUGAGCCGGGCGGGGGCGGGCAGGGGCUCGGGCGCCAGCGGGCAGGGCGGGGGCGGGGCCGGAACCGCGGGGA
rnacentral:miRNA from 1 species